UCUAAUGUGGCAGAAUAGUGCAAUGAACUUAAAAUUCAUUUAUAAAAUAAUAUUUAUAUUUUCAUUAGAA
rnacentral:tRNA from 1 species